rnacentral:rRNA from 1 species
GUCUUGUAGAGGGGGGUAGAAUUCCAGGUGUAGCGGUGAAAUGCGUAGAGAUCUGGAGGAAUACCGGUGGCGAAGGCGGCCCCCUGGACAAAGACUGACGCUCAGGUGCGAAAGCGUGGGGAGCAAACAGGAUUAGAUACCCUGGUAGUCCACGCCGUAAACGAUGUCGAUUUGGAGGUUGUGCCCUUGAGGCGUGGCUUCCGGAGCUAACGCGUUAAAUCGACCGCCUGGGGAGUACGGCCGCAAGGUUAAAACUCAAAUGAAUUGACG